UCAAUGGCCUAACGGCUGAACCAGCAACUUGGGGGAAUGGAUAUAUAUAUAUUAGAGAUAAUAUAUAGUACCGACUCUGUCGGAUAAAGUUCUAGAUAGAAUAAUGAUAAUGACAAUUUUCUAUCUAUAUGUCUUGACCAAAUCUUGUGCCAGCAGUCGCGGCAACACAAGGGAGACUAGUGUUAUUCAUCUUUAUUAGGUUUAAAGGGUACCUAGACGGUAUAUUAAGCCCCAAAAGGGAACGGAUAUACUAGAGUUUUAUGUGAGAGGCAAAUAUAGUACUAUUGGUGUAGAGAUAAAAUUCAUUGAUACCUCUAGGCACGGGUAACGGCGAAGGCAAUCCUCUAUGUAAAAACUGACGUUGAGGGACGAAGGCUUGGGUAGCGAAUAGGAUUAGAUACCCUAGUAGUCCAGGCAGACAAUUAUGAAUGUCAUAGAUUAGAAAUAUUUUUGAUCUAUAAAUGAAAGUGUAAGCAUUCCACCUCAAGAGUAAUGUGGCAACGCAGGAACUGAAAUCAUUAGACCGUUUCUGAAACCAGUAGUGAAGUAUGUUAUUUAAUUCGAUGAUCCUCGAAAAACCUUACCACAGUUUGAAUGUUAAUUAAUAAAUUAACACAGGCGUUGCAUGGCUGUCUUCAGUUAAUGUCGUGAGAUUUGGUUAGAUCCAAAAAAUUAUCGUAAACCCUUGUUCUUUAUUUGUUUGAAUAAUGCAGUUAACCGCUAUAUUGGAUUAUAUAAC
rnacentral:rRNA from 1 species